UUAACCAGGUUUGCUGCUGCCUUUGGCCAGUCCCUCCCCAGUUCCACAGGCUCUCUCCUGGCUGGACUCUGAUCACCAGGGAACAGAGGCUGCCCAGGCUCUUCUGCCAGCUCCAAAUGCACAUGCUCCUGGUGCUACAGGACCAGAGGGGAGCUGCAGCCUUUACAACACCCCACCAGUGUCCUGAUUUAUCUGAGGAUAUUGGCAACUGAACUUGAAGAGAAGCUGCUACCCUGGACUAAUCAGCAGAUUUGCACACAGCAACAGGAACAGACCCUAAUCAGGAGGAAGAUACAGCAUUUGGUAUCCCUGGCAACUAUCUGCACAAAACCACUACCAUUUUACUAAGUGACAUGAUACUGAGUAAAUUGGAUCAACACAAUGAAAAUGACCAGCAAGUGCCAUCUUCUUGAUAAAGUCUACAAAAAUAUGCUUCUUAAAAAAAAGUAUAUUCAGAUUAUGACUCUCAUAUGUUAUACAGGUGACACUCAGACUAGCUUUGUAAAUUAUUUCAACUUCAGUAACAAUUCUUCUGGAGCUCAUUUUUCCCUUGGUCUAACAAUGCAGAAUGGAAAGACACUGUCAACUGCACUUUGGAUUUUAAUCAGGCCUCAUCCGCGCUCAGAGUUGCAUCAUCUUAAUUAAAGGCAGAAUUUUAAGCAAGUUGAAGCGGCUUUAUACCCUAUAGGUAAAUCACACAAUCCACUUAGGCUAAUUUAUGUGUAAUUCUGCAGACCAAAGCAAAAAUGUCUGAGUGCACCAUUAGGUAGAAAAUAUGGAAACUCCCUGUGUGUACAAGCUUAAACUUAAACCUGUUUUCACAUGAAGUCAGUACCCUGGAAGAUCUUGAAUCCUUGGAAUCUCAGAGAGUCAUAGCGGAGUUUUGGUUUCCGCACCCAAGCGAAGUUGGGGAUACACAAACACAGCAGAGGAUUAAAGAAUUCUCCAGCUAUAAGGACAGCGGAGGGUCUGAUAUGGAUGGGAGCUGUAGUCACUGCAGUAGUUCAUGAAAGAACUGAAGCUGAACUGGCUCUUUCAGGAGAGAUUAGAGAGCACAACAGACAUUUGCACUUGAAUAUAUGAAGCCUGGAAGACACAAUGUGAAAAAUUAGAAAUACUGGUUCAGGACAUUAAAUUCAGCAUGUUAAAAAAGACUACAGAAAAAGAUAGUGGAAUAUCCACAUCAAAGCUGAAGAGUAGAUGGUAUUCAGUAAAGUAAAACACAAGUAAAGCCAGUUGGAUACUGAAGUGCAUUAGUAACAUCUUGCCAAUUAGAAAUACAGAUUCCUUAGAUAACGGAGAAUUGGCUUUGCUCAGAGUCAUUUAGGGAAAUGAUAGUUUAAAAAGGUUGUAUUUACAGUACUACUAAGGGUUUGCAAUAAUUGGGCUGGGAGAUGAACAAACAUUAAUGGAACAAAAAUUUCAUCAUCUUGGAAAGACUAUCUUCACAAAUAGACCAAAAAAAUCCAACAGUAGCAUAGAGACAAAGACUUCUUCAAUCAAAAAGCACUGCUCUAGGAAGCAAUGCUAAUUAAAAUCUGGUUUUGGAUAGUAGGAAGGACUUCACAGAUGAACAGGUCAUAGAAAAUAAACUGAUAAUAAAGUGAUUCAGCUUUUUAAAUACUGAAGUUAGAUGAAAGGAUAAAACAGUCAGUAAAUAGGUAUUUCCCCACCCCUUCCCCCCCCGCAACUCAGAAGGACAAAGACAAUAGAACUGGAGAACACAAGAACCUGGAUCUGAAGGAGGCUUUGUCAUUUCUUAAGUCAAAAAGCACAAAAACUAUCCAGCUGGGGGUGGGGGCACAGAAAGAAACAGGUGCCCAAAAUCCAAAAUUAACUGUACAAAUAAGCAUCUCAAGAAAGUUACCAGGACUGAACAGAAAGUCAACAGAAAUGCUGAGGGAAGACAUACUGAUACAAGACAUUUACAUCCUGGAAGUCAAGAAUUGUUUGCUUAAAAAGAGAACUGCUCAAAUAAACAUUUGAAUUAGGAAAUUGGAAAAAAAAAAAGUACAAUUUUGUCACUCUUCUUUAACUGGGGGGGUGAGGUGGGGUGGAGGGGGCAUAACAACCCCAGACAGGAGAAGUAGUGUGCAUUCAUGCUAUAUAGAGAUCAAAGAUAAUGUAAGGUGAGCAUCCAAACAGAUGUCUUGCCUCUGUUUCCAAGAAACAACAGAUCAACAAAAAUAGAGGCAUGGAAAGAAGGCUAACGAGGCUGAGUGGAGAGACAUGCAUAGGCCCACAUCUUAUGUGAAAGAAACCUAGAGAGCAUGCCAUGCUCCACUGUGGGAAUGAUAAUCCAGAAAACUGAAACAAGAGGCAUAUUGAAGUAGAAAUUAAGUAGAAAGAUUUUUUUAAUAUGGCUAUGAUAUUAGCUAUAUGUUACCAUAUAACUAGCAAGCAGCAAAUAACUGCAUUUGUGAAAACAAUUCAGACAAAUAUAGAACUCUGAAUUUGCCGUAAGUACCAUAAAAAAAGCUUUAGAAUGCAUUUUGAAAGAAAGAAGAAAUAGAAAGUAAACAAAGAUAAACUACAAAGUUUUAUUCAAUAUCUACCUUUGAUGAACUGAAAAAAGAUGAAGCAAGUGUAGUCCAUCUAGUCUAUCUGGAUUUCAGUAAAAAAUUUUGAAGAUGGAACUUCA